AUCAAUAGAAGCUUGCUUCUAUUGAUUAGCGGCGGACGGGUGAGUAACACGUGGGCAACCUGCCUGACAGACUGGGAUAACUUGGGGAAACUCAAGCUAAUACCGGAUAGGAUCGCGAACCGCAUGGAGAGCGAUGGAAAGUCUGAACGACACUGUCAGAUGGGCCCGCGGCGCAUUAGCUAGUUGGUGAGGUAACGGCUCACCAAUUUUUUCUUGCGUAGCCNAGCUAAGAGGGUGACCGGCCACACUGGAACUGAGACACGGUCCAUACCUCCUCUGAGGCGACUGGGGACUCNUACNGGAUCAG
rnacentral:sRNA from 1 species